ensembl:lncRNA
AUUGUGACACGGCCCCUCCCCCUUAGACAAGCCCACACCUCUCAGCGCCAGAAAGCUCCACCCCUCUCCCAGCUCCACUCCCUCUCCCACCCAGACCCCCUCCAUAGGCCACUGUGCCCCUUAGUGCCAGAAAGCCCUACCCCAUAGAUAGCUCUGCUCCUCAGCACUAGGCAGUUCCAGCCCCCCCAACUCCAGUCCCCUCCACCCCACACACCCCCUAGCACUGGACCACCCCAGUCUCUUCACUCCCACUGCCCUGGGCAGCUCCAGCUCCUCCCACGCUCCAGACCCCCGCACCCUAACUUACAUUGCACCAGGCCCCUUCCACUUCCUAGGCCUGCCCAGUACCUGCUUUUGCCCUCUCGGGACCCCUAGCCUCUUAGCCUCAGCUUCACCCCCCCUCCACCAUUUCCUUGCUGUAAGGUGCUAGGCACCUUAUGGCCCUGGGUAUUACCUUCUGCCCACUUCAGUUGCCCACCUACAACCCCAGCUCCUUGCCCUUCUGCACUUCUAGGCAGCUACCAGAGACUUCCUGGGAGGAAGCGGAGGCCAGGCCUGCCACAUGGCUGGUGCUACCAAGUCCUCGUGCAGUCAGGAAGAGGAGGGACGUAAGAAGCAGCAAAGCCAUCAAGGGAAAGGAGCAGGAGUUCCACAGCAGGAUGGUUCCUGGAUGAAUAUUGCUUACACCCACUCACAAGUGUCCAGAGCCUCUGCUGAGCGGGAGAACCAUCUUCAGGCACCAAGGAAAAAGGUGGAAAGCAGGAGAGUGGACCAGAAGAACCCUCCGUUUGAGGACUUUAAGGGAAUUCCGAUAGAUCAAGACCCCAAAGAUGCUAAAUCUCAUCAACGUUCCGUGAAGAAUCAGAGAGCCUUUGUUUACCAGCCCAGCUCAACAGAACAUGCUCAAGGAGAUCCACCGCCAUUGGCCAAGCUGACCGUAGCACCAGCUGAAAAAAGAGAGCAGUGCGACAGCUCAGAGGCUCCGUCUGAGAUCAAAAGUCCGAGGCGGAUGCAGCCCCUUGCCAAGAGCACACAAACUGAAGAAUGCUCUCCAAAGCAGACCCAGCCGCCCUGCUUCCCAGAUGGCAGAGGGAACAGGAGCAGCUCUGGGCUUGAGAAGAGGAACUGUCCCCCUCCACUGGGAGGAGCAGGAAGGAAGUGGGCUGAGGGCUCUGAAGUGGAGCGUGAAGAGGAACUGAAAGAGCUUGGUUGGAUUAACUAUGGGUUCACUACGGAGCCAGUGUAUAAAAAGCUUGAUUGUCCCGUGGAGGAAGGAGUUAAAGUGAGGACUGUAACAGAUGUUAGUUAUAAAGAUGACCACCGCAUGUACUGCUUUGACUAUGGAAACAGACAUUAUUACCAACCUAAGAAAGAUCAUGAGCGAGCCUACAUGAUGAAGCUGGCAGAAAGCUCUGAGAAGGUGAUUCAGCAAAACCUGAGAGAAUUCUUUGGCCUGCUGAGGAUCUUGGUGAACGUGGUCUUCAUUUUCCUUGUUGAGCUGGUCCGCUUUCUUGGCAAGUCAGUGUUCCAGCAAACGGGCCUUUCCUCUUCGACCUGAAUCCAGCUUUCACCCACUGCUUAUCCACUCCAGCUGUGUUCAUCCUGAUCCUGGAACGUCUGUGGGGUCUGGCUGAGGUUAGCAUAAGGUAUGUGACACGGAGCACCACCUUGUGGCUGAACAGUAUAACACACUUUAGCAUCCUACUACAUCUGCCCCUCUACAUUCUGCAUUCCUACCACAUACGAUAUUUUCACUGUGGGCUUGUCUACAUCAGAAAGUUGCAGCGCUGGUGAGCGAGUUACAGCGCUGCAACUUUGAAGGUGUACACAUCUGCAGGGCAUCACCAGCGCUGCAACUCCCUGUUUGCAGCGCUGGCCGUACUCCCGUUUUGUCUUGNCUCUGAAUCCUGCUGGUUUUCUAAUUUCACGACCUGAAUGCGUAACAACUUGAUCAUCCAGCCGUCUGCUAGUGGCAAUGACUGGCUGGGGUCGGUUCGGAAUCCUGGAAUCUUCAUCAUCUGUAGCGUUUGGCCUGUUGAUUGUUCUGAGUAACAAGCUGCAGAUGCCAACGGUGUCUGUUUAACUCUUCACUGGCCGUCUCAGUCACGUUAUCUGGGCACGAAAUUCUUUUUAUUUUAUGGCAGCUCCAGUUGUCCAUCGCUUUUCUCCCGCCAGCUUGACACAAACACGGUCACCGGGUUUGAGGCCCAGCGGUUCUCGGAGUGACAUCUGGUGUAAGAGCGUUUGUAAGCUCCCGUGGGACUGCUCUCUUCACGGCCGGAGAUAGGUUCUUUGCCACAGCUGGAACAGUAGUUCUGGUUUGUCUUCCCGUCGGUGUGACCUGCACAAAAUUCUCUGUUAC